GAUGAACGCUAGCGGCAGGCCUAACACAUGCAAGUCGAGGGAGGAGCUUUCGGGCUUCGACCGGCGUACGGGUGCGUAACGCGUAUACAAUCUGCCUUUCACAUAGGGAUAGCCCGAAGAAAUUUGGAUUAAUACCUAAUGGUAUAUAGGAGUGGCAUCACAUUUAUAUUAAAGCUGAGGCGGUGAAAGAUGAGUAUGCGUUCUAUUAGCUAGUUGGAGAGGUAACGGCUCCCCAAGGCGACGAUAGAUAGGGGUUCUGAGAGGGAUAUCCCCCACACUGGUACUGGGAUACGGACCAGACUCCUACGGGAGGCAGCAGUGAGGGAUAUUGGACAAUGGUCGGAAGACUGAUCCAGCCAUGCCGCGUGCAGGAAGACGGCCUUAUGGGUUGUAAACUGCUUUUGCAGGGGAAGAAUAAGGACUACGAGUAGUUUGAUGACGGUACUCUGCGAAUAAGCAUCGGCUAACUCCGUG
rnacentral:rRNA from 1 species